UACGGAGGGGGCUAGCGUUGUUCGGAAUUACUGGGCGUAAAGGGCGCGUAGGCGGCGCGAUAAGUUGGGCGUGAAAGGCCCGGGCUCAACCCGGGGACUGCGCUUGAUACUGUCGCGCUGUGAGUCCGGGAGAGGCAUGCGGAAUUCCCAGUGUAGAGGUGAAAUUCGUAGAUAUUGGGAAGAACACCGGUGGCGAAGGCGGCGAGCUGGUCCAUUACUGACGCUGAGGCGCGACAGCGUGGGGAGCAAACAGG
rnacentral:rRNA from 1 species